rnacentral:rRNA from 1 species
UACAGAGGGGGCAAGCGUUGUUCGGAAUUACUGGGCGUAAAGGGCGCGUAGGCGGCCCGCUAAGUCGAACGUGAAAUCCCCAGGCUUAACCUGGGAACUGCGUCCGAUACUGGAUGGCUUGAAUUCGGGAGAGGGAUGCAGAAUUCCAGGUGUAGCGGUGAAAUGCGUAGAUAUCUGGAGGAAUACCGGUGGCGAAGGCGGCAUCCUGGACCGAUAUUGACACUGAUGAGCGAAAGCUAGGGGAGCAAACGGG